CCUACGGGAGGCAGCAGUGGGGAAUAUUGGACAAUGGGCGAAAGCCUGAUCUAGCCAUGCCGCGUGUGUGAAGAAGGUCUUCGGAUUGUAAAGCACUUUAAGUUGGGAGGAAGGGUUGUAGAUUAAUACUCUGCAAUUUUGACGUUACCGACAGAAUAAGCACCGGCUAACUCUGUGCCAGCAGCCGCGGUAAU
rnacentral:rRNA from 1 species